GAUGAACGCUAGCGGGAGGCUUAACACAUGCAAGUCGAGGGGCAGCAUGGAGUAGCAAUACCCUGAUGGCGACCGGCAGACGGGUGAGUAACGCGUAUGUAACCUACCCUGUACAGGGGGAUAACCCGGAGAAAUUCGGACUAAUAUCCCAUAGAAAUAUUGAAGGGCACCUUUUGAUAUUUAAAGUUCCGACGGUACGGGAUGGGCAUGCGUAACAUUAGCUAGUUGGUAAGGUAACGGCUUACCAAGGCUUUGAUGUUUAGGGGUCCUGAGAGGGUGGUCCCCCACACUGGUACUGAGACACGGACCAGACUCCUACGGGAGGCAGCAGUGAGGAAUAUUGGUCAAUGGGCGCAAGCCUGAACCAGCCAUCCCGCGUGCAGGAAGACGGCGCUAUGCGUUGUAAACUGCUUUUCCAGGGGGAGAAACUUGCGCACGUGUUGCGCAAUUGACGGUACCCUGGGAAUAAGCAUCGGCUAACUCCGUGCCAGCCGCCGCAGUAAGAC
rnacentral:rRNA from 1 species